UACAGGGGGGGCAAGCGUUGUUCGGAAUUACUGGGCGGAAAGGGUGCGUAGGCGGGUCUUUAAGUCAGGGGUGAAAUCCUGGAGCUCAACUCCAGAACUGCCUUUGAUACUGAGGAUCUUGAGUUCGGGAGAGGUGAGUGGAACUGCGAGUGUAGAGGUGAAAUUCGUAGAUAUUCGUAAGAACACCAGUGGCGAAGGCGGCUCACUGGCCCGAUACUGACGCUGAGGCACGAAAGCGUGGGGAGCAAACAGG
rnacentral:rRNA from 1 species